GACGAAGAACGUAGCGAAAUGCGAUACGUAAUGUGAAUUGCAAAUUCAGUGAAUCAUCGAGUCUUUGAACGCACAUUGCGCCCGUCAGUAUUCUGGCGGGCAUGCCUGUUCGAGCGUCAUUACGCCCCUCAAGUCCCCUGUGGACUUGGUGUUGGGGAUCGGCGAGGCUGGUUUUCCAGCACAGCCGUCCCUUAAAUUAAUUGGCGGUCUCGCCGUGGCCCUCCUCUGCGCAGUAGUAAAACACUCGCAACAGGAGCCCGGCGCGGUCCACUGCCGUAAAACCCCCCAACUUUUUAUAGUUGACCUCGAAUCAGGUAGGACUACCCGCUGAACUUAAGCAUAUCAAUAAGCGGAGGA
rnacentral:misc_RNA from 1 species